AAAACAAAGCAGAAGUUCCGCUUCUCACCUUGCGACAGGGUCAGUAAGGUUAAUAUGCAGGUAUUUUAAAUUUCUUGUAUAUCUAUGCGGAUAGGCUUGCUCUAUCCGCUUUUAUUUUUACUU
rfam:Oxobacter pfennigii strain DSM 3222 OXPF_contig000068, whole genome shotgun sequence.